UACGAAGGGGGCUAGCGUUGCUCGGAAUUACUGGGCGUAAAGGGCGCGUAGGCGGACAGUUUAGUCAGAGGUGAAAGCCCAGGGCUCAACCUUGGAAUUGCCUUUGAUACUGGCUGUCUUGAGUUCGGGAGAGGUGAGUGGAAUGCCGAGUGUAGAGGUGAAAUUCGUAGAUAUCUGCAGGAACACCCGUGGCGAAAGCGGCGCGCUGGACCACUACUGACGCUGAGGAACGAAAGCUAGGGGAGCAAACAGG
rnacentral:rRNA from 1 species